rnacentral:rRNA from 1 species
AACGAACGCUGGCGGCAGGCUUAACACAUGCAAGUCGAACGCAUCCUUCGGGGUGAGUGGCAGACGGGUGAGUAACGCGUGGGAACGUGCCCUUCAGUUCGGGAUAACCCAGGGAAACUUGGGCUAAUACCGGAUACGUGCGAGAGCAGAAAGAUUUAUCGCUGAAGGAUCGGCCCGCAUCUGAUUAGCUAGUUGGUGGGGUAAUAGCCCACCAAGGCGACGAUCAGUAGCUGGUCUGAGAGGAUGACCAGCCACAUUGGGACUGAGACACGGCCCAACCUCCUACGGGAGGCAGCGGUGGGGAAUAUUGGACAAUGGGCGCAAGCCUGAUCCAGCCAUGCCGCGUGAGUGAUGAAGGCCUUAGGGUUGUAAAGCUCUUUCGUCCGGGACGAUAAUGACGGUACCGGAAGAAGAAGCCCCGGCUAACUUCGUGCCAGCCGCCGCCGUAA